rnacentral:sRNA from 1 species
GCCUGUAGGUAUGUCUGUGUACCACAUGUGUACUGUGUCCAAGGAGACCAAAAGAGGGUUUCAGACCCCAUGGAACUGAAGCUACAGAGAACUGUUAGCUAUCUCGUAGGUGCUGGGACCCGAACUCAGGUCCUCUAUAAGAGCAGUCAGUGCUGAGUUACCUUUCUGGCCCAAUGCUGUUCUUUGACAAACUGAACAAUGCUGUCCUAGAAAGUAUUUGAUAAGGUUGAAAGGACAAAGACCUCAGUAUGUUAGCCUCAGCCAUAUCCUAGUUGGAACGAAACCAGCUUUCCUCAUGGAAAAGGAGUGUCCCCUAUCAAAUGGCUAGAAUGUAGCCCUCUUGUCUGAUACUUCUUUCUCUGUAAAAGAUGUGUGGUUUGUGUUAUCAGCAGACAAACAGAAUCAAGACAACACUUUGCAAUGUAAUUUCAUGAUUUAUACAUCAAUUAUGUUUUAUGAAGUUAUUUUUGACUGACUAAAAGGUUUUAUAGCUGGAAUGUUGCUAUAUUGGGAUGGAAGACGGGAACAGCCUCCCGUACCCCUGCAUUCAUUCCUCUCACCUCUUGCUCAGGUCAGGCUAUCCCAGGCAGGAGGAGGGGCAACUCUGGAGGGGCUGCUUCUCACCUGCCAUUAUUCCCACUGAGGUCUAAUCACCUCCUGCCUCUCCAGGCCUAAGAACCGCCUUCUGUGUGCCCCACCCCCAUUUCUAAAGUCCAGGUUUGUUUUCUUAAUUUCUUAGAUUAGUAAAUCUGAACAUAGUAUUGUAGGCAUACCUGAGUUCUAUAAACUCACUGUUAGCUCCCCUCCUUGACCCAGGACAGCUUCUGCCAUCCUGAGACAGAGUGACCUGCUUUGUCCUGCCCUGGCCCUCUGAAUCCCUCUAGGUCUCCCUAGAAAAAUAGGGAUCUGCAGACCCUGUGGGUACAAUAAUAAAGGAAAAACUACAAAGUACGGAAGAGGAAAUACACAAGAAAGCAGAAGUAGGUCCUGGUUCUUAUCCAGACCAUGAGGCCAUCGCCACCUUCAGUUAACCCUGAAGGGGCUCCUUCCUUGCAACAAGGUCAAAUUCACAGUGUGCAAAGCAGGACCAGCCAAAGCCCUCACUUGAUUAUAGCUUAAUCCUAAUCUGAUGAGGUUUGGGUGCAAAGCUCUCUCAGGUUAACAGUGACCGGAGGAUCCCUGCGCUUUAGGACACGGCUUUCUACCUUAAGGUCCCAGCAAGCUCUUUUUGGUGUUGGUGUUGGAAGUCUCACGUUUGCUGAGCAAGUGCUGUACCACCAAGCCGCAUCUCCAAGCCCACACAGGAAGCCUCGUUAAAAAAUGAAAUGAAAUACCAGAGCACAUCCAACACUGAGAAAGAGAAAAACAAACGUUGGCCACCACAGCUGGAAAGUUCUGGAUGGGGUAAAGACAGACAUCACCAGGGCAGGAUGUAAAAACCACAGUCUGAACUCUGGAUGGGGAAGGCGAUCCACAGAGAGCACUCAGCAUGCAUAAAAUCUCCUCUUGGCACUUAAAUGUUUACGGGGCUAGCUCCAUUCCAAACCCCGGCCCAAGACUUACGUCACAGGUGUAGCCCUGUGACGGGUUAUCUGGUCACAGCGACUCAGGAGGCAAAGGAAACAUCCACAACCACGCUUCUGGCUUGCUCAUCUUCCUGGAGGAGGACCCAAAGCCAGUGUACACUGGCUUCCUAAAAGCCACUUGUAAGACCUCUGCAAGCACAUGCAGCAUCCACGAGACCUGCACACGGUGCAGGAAAACCACACUCCGUACCUGUGCCAGCUAGUUUCAUGGCAACUUGACACAAGCUAAAGUCAACCGAAAGGAAGAAACCUCAAGAAAGAAAAUGUCUCCCUAAGAUUGGGCUGUAGGCAAGCCGGUGGGGAAUUUUCUUAGUUAGUGAUUGAUGUGAGAGGUCCCAGUCCAUUGUGGGGGGUGCUCCUGUGUUACAUAAGAAGUCUGGCUGAGCAAGCCAGUAAGCUGUACUCCUUUAUGCAUCAGCUCCUGCCUCCAAGUUCCUGCCCUGCGUGAGCUCCUCCCUCCCUUGACUACUUGGGUGAUGAGCUGUUUCUGUGGAACAAAGAAUGAAACAAAGCCUUUCCUUCCCCA